AGGAGGAUUAUAUAUCUGCCUGGCAUCCCUUUUUGGUCCAGCUGAAGAUUUCUUGGGUGGUGAACCAGAAGUUGUAUCUUCAUUGGCUCUCUUCUGCCUAUAAUGGUUUCCAGGAUAAUGUUACUGUGCUUUUAUAAGAAGGAGGAAUGUGGAAGAGAUCCUAAAAAGACAAAAUGAAGACAAGAUUUCUAAUAUAUCUGGUGGUAUGGAGAAUGGUGGUGAGGGUAAGAAACAUGGAGACAUCUUAAAGUUUAGGAGAGAAUAAGUUCUUAUCUAUCCUUGUUCACCUAAAAAAAAGUUGCAAGAGAAAAAAUAAACAGAUGAUUUUGUUUACAAAUUA